rnacentral:lncRNA from 1 species
AUGCAGUAUUUAAUGCUGCAAUGGUUACAGGAUGAGCAUAUGCUGCUCAGACAGACCAAGUAUCCAACCUGGGCCCAUCCUGAAUUUCUUAUGAUCUCAAAAUCCAAAUUCAUUAGCACUGCUCAAAAUCCUCUUUCACUUUCCUGCCUUGCUGUUUGUGAUGUGAACCACGAGAUGUUCAGAAGUUGCAUUUGUUGUUUGAUGGUUUUACAUGGGUGUAAUGGUGUAACAGUGCAUCUGCUGAGUCAACAGUUCUUUCUGUAUAUGUGUGUGUGUGUUUGUUUGUUUGUUUAUUUAAUACUCCAUUUCCAACAAGUCCUUGUUCCCCAGUUCCUGUUGACAACCAGGGAACAAGCACAAGUCAACGGAGAAAAUGUACAACUCGAAGGCUGGGGUCACAAGAUGGAUUUGGAGGAAGCAACUUUCUUGCAGAUAUGUGACUAGAAUAUGAAUACUGUCCCAAGGUUUAUUCCUAAAUCUGUUGGAAACGAUGGAAAUGAUCCUAUUGACUCCAACAAAGUCUGCUUUCUGCUGGAUUAAGGAAUAUGUUUGUACAUCAGAUUUGCUGUCCCACUAACGAAAUGGGGAAUUUUAUAAACAUAUCAGGGAGGGUAAGUGCCCAAUAGAAAAGAUGUCAGAUAGAGAUCCUGAAAUUACAGUCUACUUGUAACAGAAAUAAAACAAGGAAAGCUUACUAACGAGUCA